rnacentral:rRNA from 1 species
AGCUCCAGUAGCGUAUAUUAAAGUUGUUGCAGUUAAAAAGCUCGUAGUUGGAUUUCUGGCAAGAUAGCGAUGACCUGGCACUUAGUGUCACGCGUUAAAACUAUCUGCCAUCCUUCCAGAGAACGACGAUACCGUUUAUUUCGGCCUUCGUCGCAAUCUGGAACUUUUACUUUGAAGAAAUUAGAGUGUUCAAAGCAGGCGAUACGCAUUGAAUACAUUAGCAUGGAAUAAUAAUUUAGGACUUAGUUUCUAUUUUGUUGGUUCUAGGAAUUAAGUAAUGAUUGAUAGGGAUAGUUGGGGGUGCUAGUAUUCAGCGGCCAGAGGUGAAAUUCUAUGAUUCGCUGAAGACUAACUUAUGCGAAAGCAUUCACCAAGGAUGUCUUCUUUAAUCAAGAACGAA